CCUCGAGCCUCCUGAAGGGCCCAGCGAGACCAGCUGGUUGAUAGGCCGGAUGUGGAAGCGCUGCAAGGCGUUGAGCUAACCGGUACUAAUGGCCCGUGAGGCUUGACCAUA
rnacentral:rRNA from 1 species